rnacentral:lncRNA from 1 species
CCGACAUUGAGUUACACUUUCGGUGACGCAAAAGGAAGGAUGAAAGAUGAAAGACGAAAGAUGAAAGAUCGGAAGGAACUUGGAUAACUCUAUUUUUUUUUUUUUUGAGGUUUUAAGUUACCGCUCUACCCUUAGGUAGAGGGGAAUUAUUUGGCCACCCGCCUUUACAAGGGGGAAAUCGCCACGUCGUAAUAUGUAACUUGUUACAGCUUUGCUCCAAUACUUACCUGGCGUAGAGGUUAUGUUCCCCACGUGCUUGCAGUGUGCCCAGACACACGCUUCU